GUACUUGCUGUCCAUCUCCGCCAGGACGCGGGCCUCGUCGACGGCCUCCUCCCGCUCGGCACGGUUCAUGUUCGUGAUAUUUACCUGUUUCAAGGCGUAAACACGCCCGUUGUCCUUCCUCACCGCCUUGUAUACGACGCCGAAAGAGCCCUUCGCAAUGGUCACGAGAUUUUCGAAGUCACCGAGGGCCAUUCUCUUAACGCCCUGACUUGACUGCGAGGCCGCGGCCUUUAAAGACUGGUGUAGCGAAGACACAUUGCGUACACUGCUCGGUUGAUGAUACAUAUUUGCCGACGUUCGAGCUACAGUUAGACGCGAAGCGGCUGCCUGUCCUCUGCUGUGACCAGCGGUCAACGCGACGAACUCGCAUAUGUUACAACUCACAACGGUCCUGAAAACCAAACGAUUGGAUUAUCGAUGCUACGAAGGUAUGGAAACGAAGGCAAUGUUAGUCUAUUUUUUUUUCCGUCAACUCCAAACUUGCUGUGACAGUACAGUGUUGUGACUCUCCAUCAGAAGUGGUGUAAUCGAGAGAGAAAGGUAGCCUAUCAUCGAUGAGAAUUUGGACGGAUGCUAAAGUAUUUCUUUCGAAACUAGACUAUGGGUUACUACCCUGGUUACUACCUGGUACGAAGGUACUACCUUCGUACUAAACUGCUAUAUAAUACCUUCGUAACACACAGACUAAUUACUUGUGGGCGGUGUACCGUAAUUCCGGAUCCCGGACUUGCACUGGCAACAACACUAAGGCUCUGGUCCCGUGUCUUUCUAAAGAUCUUCCUUAUGUGAAACUGUUUUACCAGAAUGCUUCAUCACGAACCCAAUGAGGUGCAUUUCGCUUCUGUCGCCGUCGUAGAGAAUCACCUUGUCCGUCUUUGCCUGAUAGAAAUACAAAGUUGGAUACGCCUUGACUAUAAACCUUUUGUCCAAAACAUCGUUGGCAGUUGCGUCCAUCUUUGCAAUCACAACGGCAUCAUUGGAGGCAAACUUAUGACCCACUUUCUCCAUCACAGGUGCGAAUUUCUUACAAUGACCACACCAUGGUGCGUAAAAUUCGAUCAACACGUUAGCUUUUGACCCCGUGACCAAUGCCUCAAACGUACUCGCGACGAUGACUUUGACUGCGCCGUCAUUUGAGUUGGGCGGUUCCUCACUCUUGAAGGACGGGUCAAGAGAGCCGACAUCGUACUUCGCGAGCCACGGGGCAAUCCCUUUCGGCUCUGCUCGAUGCAGGAUGUAUUUCUUGUCGGUCUCUGUUUCGUGCAACACAACAGC
rnacentral:lncRNA from 1 species